rnacentral:rRNA from 1 species
GGUGGUCCAUGAUUGUCUUCAGCUCGUGUCGUGAGGAUGUUGGGUUAAUCCCGCAACGAGCGCAACCCUCGUUUUAUGUUGCCAGCACGUAAUGGUGGGAACUCAUGGGAUACUGCCGGGGUCAACUCGGAGGAAGGUGGGGAUGACGUCAAAUCAUCAUGCCCCUUAUGUCUUGGGCUUCACGCAUGCUCCAAUGGCCGGUACAAUGGGCUGCAAUACCGUGAGGUGGAGCGAAUCCCAAAAAGCCGGUCCCAGUUCGGAUUGAGGUCUGCAACUCGACUUCAUGAAGUCGGAGUCGUUAGUAAUCGCAGAUCAGCAACGCUGCGGUGAAUACGUUCCCGGGUCUUGUACACACCGCCCGUCAAGUCAUGAAAGUCGGUAACACCUGAAGCCGGUGGCCUAACCCCUCGGGGAGGGAGCUGUCGAAGGUGGGAUCGGUAAUUAGGACUU